GGGCGGGACACGUGGUAUCCUGUCUGAAUAUGGGGGGACCAUCCUCCAAGGCUAAAUACUCCUGACUGACCGAUAGUGAACCAGUACCGUGAGGGAAAGGCGAAAAGAACCCCGGCGAGGGGAGUGAAAAAGAACCUGAAACCGUGUACGUACAAGCAGUGGGAGCACAGGUUUACCUGUGUGACUGCGUACCUUUUGUAUAAUGGGUCAGCGACUUAUAUUCUGUAGCAAGGUUAACCGAAUAGGGGAGCCGGAGGGAAACCGAGUCUUAAUUGGGCGUUAAGUUGCAGGGUAUAGACCCGAAACCCGGUGAUCUAGCCAUGGGCAGGUUGAAGGUUGGGUAACACUAACUGGAGGACCGAACCGACUAAUGUUGAAAAAUUAGCGGAUGACCUGUGGCUGGGGGUGAAAGGCCAAUCAAACCGGGAGAUAGCUGGUUCUCCCCGAAAGCUAUUUAGGUAGCGCCUCGUGAAUUCAUCUCCGGGGGUAGAGCACUGUUUCGGCUAGGGGGCCAUCCCGGCUUACCAACCCGAUGCAAACUGCGAAUACCGGAGAAUGUUAUCACGGGAGACACACGGCGGGUGCUAACGUCCGUCGUGAAGAGGGAAACAACCCAGACCGCCAGCUAAGGUCCCAAAGUCAUGGUUAAGUGGGAAACGAUGUGGGAAGGCCCAGACAGCCAGGAUGUUGGCUUAGAAGCAGCCAUCAUUUAAAGAAAGCGUAAUAGCUCACUGGUCGAGUCGGCCUGCGCGGAAGAUGUAACGGGGCUAAACCAUGCACCGAAGCUGCGGCAGCGAACGUAUCACCCAAGACAACUUUGCACAGUUGACGAUUGACGGAGCGGAGCGACGUCAAAGCGUUUCACAACGUCGAGUUGGCUUAGGGAUACGUUCGUUGGGUAGGGGAGCGUUCUGUAAGCCUGCGAAGGUGGCCUGUGAGGGUUGCUGGAGGUAUCAGAAGUGCGAAUGCUGACAUAAGUAACGAUAAAGCGGGUGAAAAGCCCGCUCGCCGGAAGACCAAGGGUUCCUGUCCAACGUUAAUCGGGGCAGGGUGAGUCGACCCCUAAGGCGAGGCCGAAAGGCGUAGUCGAUGGGAAACGGGUUAAUAUUCCCGUACUUGGUGUUACUGCGAAGGGGGGACGGAGAAGGCUAUGUUGGCCGGGCGACGGUUGUCCCGGUUUAAGCGUGUAGGCUGGUUUUCCAGGCAAAUCCGGAAAAUCAAGGCUGAGGCGUGACGACGAGGCACUACGGUGCUGAAGCAACAAAUGCCCUGCUUCCAGGAAAAGCCUCUAAGCAUCAGGUAACACGAAAUCGUACCCCAAACCGACACAGGUGGUCAGGUAGAGAAUACCAAGGCGCUUGAGAGAACUCGGGUGAAGGAACUAGGCAAAAUGGUGCCGUAACUUCGGGAGAAGGCACGCUGACACGUAGGUGAAGUGAUUUACUCAUGGAGCUGAAGUCAGUCGAAGAUACCAGCUGGCUGCAACUGUUUAUUAAAAACACAGCACUGUGCAAACACGAAAGUGGACGUAUACGGUGUGACGCCUGCCCGGUGCCGGAAGGUUAAUUGAUGGGGUCAGCGCAAGCGAAGCUCCUGAUCGAAGCCCCGGUAAACGGCGGCCGUAACUAUAACGGUCCUAAGGUAGCGAAAUUCCUUGUCGGGUAAGUUCCGACCUGCACGAAUGGCGUAAUGAUGGCCAGGCUGUCUCCACCCGAGACUCAGUGAAAUUGAACUCGCUGUGAAGAUGCAGUGUACCCGCGGCAAGACGGAAAGACCCCGUGAACCUUUACUAUAGCUUGACACUGAACAUUGAGCCUUGAUGUGUAGGAUAGGUGGGAGGCUUUGAAGUGUGGACGCCAGUCUGCAUGGAGCCAACCUUGAAAUACCACCCUUUAAUGUUU
rnacentral:rRNA from 1 species